CCUUUGUGUCUCUGUGCAUGUACCACCUUUUCCAGAAAUUGUCAUGGAAGCCUUUUUUUCACUCUGAUAUGAUCAAGCAGAAUACAGACAUUAUGAAGACAGGCUUUUGGUCUGUUUUAUACUAGCCUGGAACAAAGGAAGAGCUCAAUACAUAUUUGUUGAGUAAAUGAAUGGAUGAGUAAAUGUAACAGAAAAGAAGCCUUCAGAAAAUAAAAAUGCCUGACAGAA